rnacentral:rRNA from 1 species
AUUGAACGCUGGCGGCAGGCCUAACACAUGCAAGUCGAACGAGUGGCGGACGGGUGAGUAAUGUCUGGGAAACUGCCCGAUGGAGGGGGAUCACUACUGGAAACGGUAGCUAAUACCGCAUACCAUCGGAUGUGCCCAGAUGGGAUUAGCUAGUAGGUGUGGUAACGGCUCACCUAGGCGACGAUCCCUAGCUGGUCUGAGAGGAUGAACAGCCACACUGGAAUGGAGAAACGGUCCAGAUGCUUACGGGAGGCAGCAGUGGGGAAUAUUGCACAAUGGGGGCAAGCCGGAUGCAGCCAUCCGGCGUGUAUGAAGAAGGCCUUCGGGUUGUAAAGUACUUUAAGCGAGGAGGCGUUACUCGCAGAAGAAGCACCGGCUAACUCCGUGCCAGCAGCCGCGGUAAUAC